rnacentral:rRNA from 1 species
GGACGAACGCUGGCGGCGUGCCUAACACAUGCAAGUCGAGCGGAGUCGAUCGACGGAAGCCUUCGGGCGGAAGAUGGUUGACUUAGCGGCGGAUGGGUGAGUAACGCGUGGGCAACCUGCCUCGAAGACCGGGAUAACAGACCGAAAGGGCUGCUAAUACCGGAUGUGGUCAAGGAUCCGCAUGGAUCUUUGAUUAAAGGGGAAACCCGUUUCGAGAUGGGCCCGCGUCCUAUCAGCUAGUUGGUGAGGUAAAAGCUCACCAAGGCGACGACGGGUAGCCGGCCUGAGAGGGUGACCGGCCACACUGGAACUGAGACACGGUCCAGACUCCUACGGGGGGCAGCAGUGGGGAAUCUUCCACAAUGGGCGAAAGCCUGAUGGAGCGACGCCGCGUGAGCGAAGAAGGCCUUCGGGUUGUAAAGCUCUGUCUGGAGGGACGAAGGAAGUGACGGUACCUCCGGAGGAAGCCACGGCUAACUACGUGCCAGCAGCCGCGGUAAUACGUAGGUGGCGAGCGUUGUCCGGAAUUACUGGGCGUAAAGGGCGCGCAGGCGGCGUGUCAAGUCGGACGUGAAAACCCCUGGCUCAACUGGGGGAUGUCGUUCGAAACUGGCAUGCUUGAGUGCAGGAGAGGGAAGCGGAAUUCCCGGUGUAGCGGUGAAAUGCGNNGAUAUCGGGAGGAACACCAGUGGCGAAGGCGGCUUCCUGGACUGUACCUGACGCUGAUGAGCGAAAGCUGGGGGAGCAAACAGGAUUAGAUACCCUGGUAGUCCCAGCUGUAAACGAUGAGUGCUAGGUGUGGGGGGCGACAAUCCUCCGUGCCGCAGUUAACGCAAUAAGCACUCCGCCUGGGGAGUACGGCCGCAAGGCUAAAACUCAAAGGAAUUGACGGGGGCCCGCACAAGCAGUGGAGCGUGUGGUUUAAUUCGAGGCAACGCGCAGAACCUUACCAGGGUUUGACAUCAUACCGACGUCUGUAGAAACACAGAUUUCCGCUUAGGCGGACGGUAUGACAGGUGUUGCAUGGUUGUCGUCAGCUCGUGUCGUGAGAUGUUGGGUUAAGUCCCGCAACGAGCGCAACCCCUAUUUUUAGUUGCCAUCAAGUAAAGUUGGGCACUCUAAAGAAACUGCCGGUGAUAAACCGGAGGAAGGUGGGGAUGACGUCAAAUCAUCAUGCCCUUUAUGUCCUGGGCUACACACGUGCUACAAUGGCUGGUACAGAGGGCAGCGAAGGAGCGAUCUGGAGCUAAUCCCAAAAAGCCAGUCUCAGUUCGGAUUGCAGGCUGCAACCCGCCUGCAUGAAGUCGGAAUCGCUAGUAAUCGCGAGUCAGCAUAUCGCGGUGAAUACGUUCCCGGGUCU